CAAAGUAUGGUAGGUAAGAUAGAGAGACAAAAAUAGAGCAAGGUAAAAAAACGAGUAAGUUAAAGCAACAGAGAUAGGCAGAGAGCAAGAAGGAGAAAUGGAGAGAUGUAGAGAAAUUGAGAGAGCAAGGUAGAGAGAGAAAAUAGAAAGUAGAGAAUUUCAGAUAGAAGCAGAGGUUAAAAAAAACUAUCCAAACCAAUCUAGCCCUGUGUGAAAAAGUAUUUGCCCUCUAAACUUAAUAGCUUGAUUUUUUCCACCCUGCACAGCAACAACUGCAAUCAAGCUUUACCGAUAACUGGCAACGAGUUUUUCACAUCUCUGUGGAGGAAUUUUGUUUCACCCUUGUUUACAGAAUUGUUUUAAUUCAGCCAUAUUGUUGGGUUUUCGAACAUAAACAUCCUGUUUAAGAUCAUCCACAGCAUCUCAAUCAGACUUUGAUUCAUUUAGGUUUUUUUAAGCCAUUCAGUGGUGAACUUGUUUUUGGGCUUUGGAUCAUUGUCCUGCUGCAGAACCCAAGUACCCCUGAUCUUGAGGUCACAAACAGAGUAUCAGACAUUCUCCUUCAGGACUUUUUUGGUAAACAGCAGAAUUCCUGUUUUCAUAUAUUACAGCAAGUUGUCCAGGCCCUGAAGCAGCAAUGCAGCCCCAGAUCAGCAUACUACCACCACCAUGUUUUAGGUUGCCAGGUAUGGAACACAGUAGCAGGCAAACACAGAAUGCUGCCAUGGAAGAGAGCACCAUCUGGAUCAGUAAAAAAAAAACAGAAACCUAAAAAGGCAUCCAUGGCAAACUUCUAAAAAAGCCCCAUUAUCAAAGACUCAAAGAUGUUAGUAAGUUUUGCUGAUGCGCUUGAUAGAUUGAGAGCACUUAGAAACCAGAAGGACUACAAGACAGAUGUGGAGCUAUACGUUUAGCUAACCGUAUCUUGGUAAUGGGCCACAGUUGUACUACCUUGACAGCAACCAGCAUGACAAAAUAAACAUCAGAAACCAAAAGUUUGACUUUAUAUCUACUCAACCUGGCAACUCGCAUGAGCCUUGCAUCUGAUGAAGAGGGGUGAGGGCCAGACAACCGUUGCCAGAAUUUUAAAACUGGACUGUGGAAGCCAUUUACAUGCCUAAUGUUUUUUACUACAUACAGUUUCUUUAACACAAAGACUGACACAUUUUUAUUGUAUUUGUUCAUCAAAUAAGUAACUGGGUUUAAACUGAACUUUUUUGAAUGACAGGACCGAUAAUAUAUAAUGAUGUAAUAAUAAGUACAGAUUAUUGUGUGAGUUUACCUUUUGACUCCAUCCCAGUGCAGGAUCAGCCUCUGAGUGGCUGCAUGACCCCAACUUUCACCUUUCACACAAACAAACAAACAGGCGAACUCUAAAGGUGAGACAAACAAAGUGCAAUACAUAUACAUAUAAAAAAACAUUUAAAACAUAUUUAUUCUUUUGGCCCCUGGGGCGCCUGAGCAGGUUAGCUACACUAAUAAUCUAUAGCAGAGUCCCUUACCCCUUCACUGAGUGAACAUGUUUAAUGUGUUUUGUAUUAUGUUUAAUAAUAAUGUAUUACUAUGUAUCACUAUGUGCAAUAAAAUUGUUUACUUAUUACUGUAUUGCUCUACUAUGUGCAACAGCUAAACUCACCAUGUAUAGCAUAAUCUGUUUAACAUCACUGUGAUCAAUAUUACUAUUUGUUUACUAGUUUACCACUAUGGAACCAUAUUCUCUUGUAUUUUUAGAUAUAUUAUAGAGUUUGUAUAUACAAAUAUAUCUGUUUUGUCAUCUGUGCUACUGUUUGUUGCAAAUUUCCUAGCUGUGGAAAAAAUGAAGGAUUAUCUUAUCAUCUUAGUCAGGCUAAUAGACUAUUAUUAUUAUUAUUAUUAUUAUAAAGUAUUUUUAUACACAAGUCUUUAAUAUGAAGGGAUACAGUAAUAAGAUAUUUAGGGACCAAAAUCAUAGUCUGGUCAGGAUGUUGCAACAAAAUUAUUGGAUGGAGCAUCUUUCCAGAGAACACAGUUCCACUGCUCCACAGGGAACUGGGUAGCUUUAACCCUAGCCUAGCAUUAGACAUGAUGCUGAAAGACUCGUGUUUAUCUGCUCCAGAAAAAAAAAAAAAUCUAUUGGCAGGACCACUCCACAGGAAGUGGACAAGCUGCAUGUGUGUAUUUGCACAUAUGUGUCAGCAAUGGGUGCUGCCCAAAGUAGCUGAAUUCAUUAGAAUGCAUAUAGACAGAUAGUGUAUUAAGAACACGAUGCAUGAUGUAAUAUAUUAAGACUACAAGAUAUUUCGAGUGGAAACACACACACACACACACACACACACACACAGAUUACCUAAAGCAGGAAUGAGUUUGGAUUGGCCAUCUGAGACUUUGGUUGUCAUCUGAUUGGUCAGCACAAUCUAACAACAAACAAAUAUGAUUCAAACACAAAUAUGAGCACAGAUAUGGAUGUACUAUGUACAUGUGUGUGUGUUUGUGUGUAUGUGAGGGUGUGUGUUUAAGAAAGGCCAUACUGCUGCACUGUGCUGGGUGGCUAACAGGAUUAGCUUCUGGGCGAGACCAUUGAGGAGGCGGGUUCUCUGAGAGAGAUCAUCAAAGUCAUGCCUGAACGGAAAGGCAAUGCUGUCAAUCACCACCAGCCGCACCUGAGAAUGGAAUCAAGGGUAUUAGAUGGGGGUUCAUCAUCCCCCUUUGCCGAGUUAACAGGUUCUUAUCUUCUAUAAAGGGUUCAGACUAGAUGUUAAAACAUUGUGAGGUAAAGUACUGAUGUUGGAUGAUCUGUUCUGCCACUAACUCAUAUUAAAAGUGUUGGAUGAAGGCCUGUCAUGAUAAUUAUAUUAUCAAUAUAUUGUAUAAUGUAUGGACAUGAAUUAAAUAUUUUUUGCUGACCUCAA